AAAAUCCGUCGACUUUAGAAAUCGUGAGGGUUCAAGUCCCC
rnacentral:tRNA from 1 species